UACGAGAGGCCCAAACGUUAUUCGGAAUUACUGGGCGUAAAGGGCGCGUAGGCGGCACUGUUAGUCAGGCGUGAAAGUCCUGGGCUCAACCUGGGAACUGCGCUUGAUACGGCAGAGCUAGAGGAUGGAAGAGGCUCGCGGAAUUCCCAGUGUAGAGGUGAAAUUCGUAGAUAUUGGGAAGAACACCGGUGGCGAAGGCGGCGAGCUGGUCCAUUACUGACGCUGAGGCGCGACAGCGUGGGGAGCAAACAGG
rnacentral:rRNA from 1 species